rnacentral:rRNA from 1 species
UACGUAGGGUGCAAGCGUUUGUCCGGAAUUAUUGGGCGUAAAGAGCUCGUAGGCGGUCUGUCGCGUCGGAUGUGAAAACCCAGGGCUCAACCCUGGGCCUGCAUUCGAUACGGGCAGACUAGAGUUCGGUAGGGGAGACGUGGAAUUCCUGGUGUAGCGGUGAAAUGCGCAGAUAUCAGGAGGAACACCGGUGGCGAAGGCGGGUCUCUGGGCCGAAACUGACGCUGAGGAGCGAAAGCGUGGGGAGCAAACAGG